GCUUAGCAACCUGCUCGGGACCCCUCUCUGUGACUGUGAGCUGUUCUGUUCUUUUGCCUAUUAAACUCCUGCUCCAAACUCACUCGAUGUGUGUGUGCAUGUCCUUGACCUCAAUAUCUGGUCGUGUGACCAAGAACCUCAGUAUUCACCCCAGACAACAAGGCUGCUUCAUUUUGAGGGCUCGUCUGGGAUUUGAAGGUGACUUCAUCAGAAUGAAACCAUCAAGCUUCAGAUGGUGCUGAAAAUGGAGCCGAAAAUGAAACUGCCCUCCUACGAGGGACCCUUAAAUCAACCCCAGGAGGAGCCCUAGCUGCUGUUCCCCACACAACGCCACUCUCCAGCAGGAAGUAGCCAGAAGAAAUCGUCACCCAGUUUCCCCUAGCAGCAGCGCAGUAAGAUUGAGGAGCUAAAAACAGACUUGGGUGGAUGUCUGCAGCUGCAAGAAGAUGUGUGGGAACAGACACAGAAACUCUCCCUCCCAGAUAAGCAAGACAAAGAAACACAGAAUAAGAGUCCAUCUAUGUGGUCAGAGAAUGGGAUAAGAGCUGAUUUAAAAAAACUCUGCUCUAUAUAGAAGGCACACCUGGUCCCAACCAAACCACUGGACCCUAGGAGGAUAAGACCUCCUCUGCUCAUGAGCCCCCUCCUCAGUAGCCCAUUUAUAAAAACCCUGACAAUUUUACUACCACUUGGCAACCCGCUCGGGACCCCUCUCUGUGAUGGAGAGCUGUUCUUUUCUUUUGCCUAUUAAACUCCUGCUCCAAACUCAC
rnacentral:lncRNA from 10 species